CCUCCCUUCGGGGAGGGGACAGUGGCGCACGGGUGAGUAACACGUGGGUAAUUUACCUUUGGGUGGGGAACAACAGCCGGAAACGGCUGCUAAUACCGCAUAAUGCAGCGGCUCGACAUCGAGACAGUUGUUAAAGCGGGGGAUCGCAAGACCUCGCGCCUAGAGAGGAGCCUGCGGCGGAUUAGCUAGUUGGCAGGGUAACGGCCUACCAAGGCGACGAUCCGUAGCCGGCCUGAGAGGGCGGUCGGCCACACUGGCACUGACACACGGGCCAGACUCCUACGGGAGGCAGCAGUCGGGAAUUUUGGGCAAUGGGCGAAAGCCUGACCCAGCAACGCCGCGUGAAGGAUGAAGCUUUUCGGAGUGUAAACUUCAUAAGAAUGGGACGAAUAAGGAAGGGCUAACACCCCUUUUGAUGACGGUACCAUUUGUAAGCUCCGGCUAACUCCGUGCCAGCAGCCGCGGUAAUACGGGGGGAGCAAGCGUUGUUCGGAUUUACUGGGCGUAAAGGGCGCGUAGGCGGCGCAACAAGUCACUUGUGAAAUCUCCGGGCUUAACCCGGAGCGGCCAAGUGAUACUGUCGUGCUAGAGUGCGGAAGGGGCUACUGGAAUUCUCGGUGUAGCGGUGAAAUGCGUAGAUAUCGAGAGGAACACCUGCGGCGAAGGCGGGUAGCUGGGCCGACACUGACGCUGAGGCGCGAAGGCCAGGGGAGCGAACGGGAUUAGAUACCCCGGUAGUCCUGGCCUUAAACGAUGGAUGCUUGGUGUCCG
rnacentral:rRNA from 1 species